UACGAACUGUGCGAACGUUAUUCGGAAUCACUGGGCUUACAGGGUGCGUAGGCGGACUAAUAAGUCAGUGGUGAAAGCCGAUAGCUUAACUAUCGAACUGCCAUUGAUACUGUAAGUCUAGAGUAUAGAUGAUGUUGGCGGAAUAUGACAUGUAGCGGUGAAAUGCAUAGAUAUGUCAUAGAACACCGAUUGCGAAGGCAGCUGACAAAACUAUAACUGACGCUGAUGCACGAAAGUGCGGGGAUCAAACAGG
rnacentral:rRNA from 1 species